UCAAUUUGGUGACCUAGUAACUUCUUACUCUUACAUUGAAAACACCUCACAUUAACUUUAAAUUAUCAAGAAAAUAAAACUGUUCCAGACAUUCUAACUUGUAUUAUCAAGAAAAGAAAAUUUUUCCAGACAUCCGAUUUCCAUUUAUUUAAUAAUUACAGACAAUCAAGAAACCAUAAAGUAAAAGCAGCACACUAUCACCAAUAAAAUGGUAAUUCCAAAUGUAAGGUCACUGUAAUUCACCAGUGAAAUAAUACAUAUCAGAACAGUUCUGCAACUCCACAACUUGGAUAACCACCAUCACCACCAAUACAUCUUCUCACCAUGAAGAGCCUAUUAAGUCUAAUAAACAGAUACCAAAAUUGGUCUUGGGCUCCUCGUUGAGGCCGUUUGUCCUCAUAUAAAAGAAAAAGAAAAAAAAAUUGUUCAACUCAAACUUCUACAGCAUUCAAUAAUCAGCAAUGAACUACCCGAUUCAUUAAGUUGGAGUGCAGCUAUUUACUUUAAUAAAGAUAUACAACAGGUCAACAUUUAGCCAUUCAAUCUAUAUUGAAUUACUCAUAUAUGAACAUUACAAAGAGGCUUCUGAAAGAAUAUUUUUGAAAGGGAAUAAAUGGAAAAGACAGGAACCUUAAAUAAGCCCCUCGAGACAAUCAAAGUGAAACUCUAAGCAAAGUGGUUGAAUGAUUCCCAGCUCCAUAAAGUUCAUAAUCCACCAUCACUAUAAUUUGGGAAGGUAACACAUUUGAAAACUUUGCACUUAGGACAUAAGACAUAUCCAAUCUGCAUCAAAAUUUUAAGCAUAAAAGUAAGGAAUAUCAUUAUAAUCUCUUUUAAAGACGCAUCUAUGCUUCACAAGUCAUACAUACCUACAGGAUUCUUAGGUACAUUCAAACAGAGAUCAACAAGCAAUAGCAUGACAGACACAAGCUCUGCAAGAUGGACAUCGACGGUAGAUCCGCUUAUUUUCAGCUUUCACAUUGGUUUUUUGUCCUUCACAGAAAUCACAAAGUAGCCAUCCUUUUCCAUUACAAGGUUCACACAUGAUAACCGAGUCAACCUUCACAAAGACUGCUCAUCUUGCAGCAGCUCCUGCUGCACUGGAGCACAGUGCAAAGGCUUGAAGAAAUGCCUGGUGGUGGACGUGGUGUUCAUCGUCCUCUUCCAUGGCGACGCCGACAUCCUUAAGUAAUUGAUCUUCGGUGGACUUAAUACCAUAAGAAUUGCCAUUUUUAAUUUUACAACUCUCCCCUCCCAGCUCCAGUUAUGCGAUGGCGAUAACGUCAACACUCAACACAGACUGAGAGCAACAAGAGAAGAAUGCACCCUUUUUCUCACAAAUAACUAAACUGCCA
rnacentral:misc_RNA from 1 species